GUCGGCUGAUUCUUUCAAGCGUGUAAGUCGGAGUUUCUUUAUUUAAAGCAUCGGAUCGAUAAUAGGAGUCGAGGAUUUCAUCGUGGGCUGAUACGCUCGUACUAACAUUUUGCGUUAUGCCUGUUUGUCGUCUAAAUAAAGUACUGUAGGUAUCUUUAAUGAUUGACUUCUCCACUGAAAAAGUGCAAGACUGAAACGGAAGAGAUUGUAACAAUAAGUGAAAAACCGUUUUGUAUUUUAAUUACCUCUUGGCAACAUUGGGCAGAAGAAGAAGACGACGAAGAGAUGGUUGGAGAUGGAGAAGAAGAGAGAAUGAGAGGUGGUCACAGAGGCGUAAGUGACGGAUCACCCUUUACUUGUGGAAGCCCUCAGGGUGUUUUUGAAGCUCUUGGGAAGGUCCGAAUCGCAAUCCUGUUUAUGACAUCCAUAAAGUCAAUUAUAUAUACAUAUGUAUGUAUAUCUCAUCCAACGCAUGCGUAAUAUACAUUUAAA